GGGCCGUAGCUCAGUGGUAGAGCUUCUGCUUUGCAUGCAGAAGGUCCCAGGUUCAAUCCCUGGUGGCAUCU